rnacentral:rRNA from 1 species
AUUGAACGCUGGCGGCAGGCCUAACACAUGCAAGUCGAACGAGUGGCGGACGGGUGAGUAAUGUCUGGGAAACUGCCCGAUGGAGGGGGAUAACUACUGGAAACGGUAGCUAAUACCGCAUACCAUCGGAUGUGCCCAGAUGGGAUUAGCUAGUAGGUGGGGUAACGGCUCACCUAGGCGACGAUCCCUAGCUGGUCUGAGAGGAUGACCAGCCACACUGGAACUGAGACACGGUCCAGACUCCUACGGGAGGCAGCAGUGGGGAAUAUUGCACAAUGGGCGCAAGCCUGAUACAGCCAUGCCGCGUGUAUGAAGAAGGCCUUCGGGUUGUAAAGUACUUUCAGCGAGGAGGCGUUACUCGCAGAAGAAGCACCGGCUAACUCCGUGCCAGCAGCCGCGGUAAUAC